GUGGCGUUGGCUCAAUCGGUAGAGCGUUGGUCUCAUAGCACAUAUGAGCCGGUGUCAAACAUCGGUAUCAACAAUCCCAAGGUCAAGAGUUCGAAUCUCUCAUGUUCCG